UAAGAAUAACACCAACUUGUUGGGGGGAAUAGUGGCGAACGGGUGAGUAAAACCGGGGAUAACCCGCCCUUGACUCUUGGAUAAGCCUGGGAACCUGGUUUUAAUACCGGAUAGGAACGUCCCCCCCAUGGGGGGUGUUGGAAAGAUUUAUCGGUCAUGGAUGGACUCGCGGCCUAUCAGCUUGUUGGUGAGGUAAUGGCUCACCAAGGCGACGACCGGGUAGCCGGCCUGAGAGGGUGACCGGCCCACACUGGGACUGAGACACGGCCCAGACUCCUACGGGAGGCAGCAGUGGGGAAUAUUGCACAAUGGGCGAAAGCCUGAUGCAGCGACCGCCGCGUGAGGGAUGACGGCCUUCGGGUUGUAAACCUCUUUCAGUAGGGAAGAAGCGAAAGUGACGGUACCUGCAGAAGAAGCACCGGCUAACUACGUGCCAGCAGCCGCGGUAAUACGUAGGGUGCGAGCGUUAUCCGGAAUUAUUGGGCGUAAAGAGCUCGUAGGCGGUUUGUCGCGUCUGUCGUGAAAGUCCGGGGCUUAACCCCGGAUCUGCGGUGGGUACGGGCAGACUAGAGUGCAGUAGGGGAGACUGGAAUUCCUGGUGUAGCGGUGGAAUGCGCAGAUAUCAGGAGGAACACCGAUGGCGAAGGCAGGUCUCUGGGCUGUAACUGACGCUGAGGAGCGAAAGCAUGGGGAGCGAACAGGAUUAGAUACCCUGGUAGUCCAUGCCGUAAACGUUGGGCACUAGGUGUGGGGACCAUUCCACGGUUUCCGCGCCGCAGCUAACGCAUUAAGUGCCCCGCCUGGGGAGUACGGCCGCAAGGCUAAAACUCAAAGGAAUUGACGGGGGCCCGCACAAGCGGCGGARCAUGCGGAUUAAUUCGAUGCAACGCGAAGAACCUUACCAAGGCUUGACAUGUUCUCGAUCGCCGUAAAAAUACGGUUUCCCCUUUGGGGCGGGAUCCCAGGUGGUGCAUGGUUGCCCUCACCUCCGGUCCUGGAAAUGUUGGGUUAAGUCCCCCAACCAAGCGCAACCCUCGUUCCAUGUUGCCAGCCCGUAAUGGUGGGGACUCAUGGGAAACUGCCGGGGUCAACUCGGAAGAAGGUGGGGACGACGUCAAAUCAUCAUGCCCCUUAUGGUCUUGGGCUUCACGCAUGSUACAAUGGSCGGUACAAUGGGUUGCGAAUACUGUGAGGUGGAGCUAAUCCCAAAAAGCCGGUCUCAGUUCGGAUUGGGGUCUGCAACUCGACCCCAUGAAGUCGGAAGUCGCUAGUAAUACGCAGAUCAGCAACCCUGGGGGGAAACGUCCCGGCC
rnacentral:rRNA from 1 species